GGUGUCGGCUGAAUCAGAGAUUGGCUGGCACAAAUUAAAAAUAUCUUUGUAUUAGGAAUGAGUUAUGUCUCUGAAUGCAGAAACUAAAGCAGCAAUCGUUGCUGAAUACGCGCAAGGCGCA
rfam:Photobacterium marinum strain AK15 contig11, whole genome shotgun sequence.